CGGACGGGUGAGUAAUGUCUGGGAAACGUGCCUGAUGGAGGGGGAUAACUACUGGAAACGGUAGCUAAUACCGCAUAACGUCGCAAGACCAAAGAGGGGGACCUUGGGCCUCUUGCCAUCGGAUGUGCCCAGAUGGGAUUAGCUAGUAGGUGGGGUAAAGGCUCACCUAGGCGACGAUCCCUAGCUGGUCUGAGAGGAUGACCAGCCACACUGGAACUGAGACACGGUCCAG
rnacentral:rRNA from 1 species